rnacentral:lncRNA from 1 species
GGUUGGGGUUGGGAGUGGGGUUGCUUUGGAUUUGGGGUUAGAGUUGGUUUGAGGGUGGGUUGGGGUUGGAUUGGGGCUGGGAUUGGGAUUGGUGUUGGAUUGCUGUUGGGGUUGGGUUGGGUGAGGGUUGGGUUGGGAUUGGGGUUGGGGUUGGGUUUGGGGUUGGGAUUGGGGUUAAAGUUGUGGCUGAGGUUGGGUUGGGGUGAGGGAUGCAACGACACAGCGUGACCAGGAAAGCUCCAAGAAAUGUUAAUGCAGAAGAAGUAAAUCUGUGUAAUCCCCACUACGUACCAAACAGCAGUGAAGCAAACAGAGCUGCACACUGCACAGUUAUGUGUCAGACGUUCCAUCCUGUGGUUUUCUUCACAUGGAAUAAAAGUUGGGAGGGGACGAAGCGGCCAAUGGGGACAUGUGUUGGGACUGGGGUUGGAAAUGUACUGAAAGGGGACAUUUCAGAAACCUGCAUGCGCUCUGAGGGCACCAAAUGUGAGCGCCGGGGGCCCGAAGUGCGUCUGACAAAAUCAAGUGUUGCUCCUUCCUCGAGAAUCAGAGGGUGAAAGCAGAGCUCUCCUUCCCGGCCCAACGCCAACCCCAACCCCAACACAACUCCAACCUCAACACAACCCCAACCCCAACCCUCACCCCAACCCUAACUCUUAACCCCAACCACAAACCCAACCCCAACCCAGGCUCUAACCCAAACCCCAAUGUCAACGCUGUCAACCCAACCCCAUCCUCAACCCUAACCCAACCCUAAUGCUAACCCCAACCUCGAUCCCAACCCCAUCCCCAACUCUAACCCAGCUCCAAAAGCAACCCCAAACCUCACCCCAACACUAAUUUUAACUCCAACCCCAUCCCUAACUCUAACUCUAACCCCAAACUCAACCCCAUCCCCAACUCCAAUCUCAACCACAAUCCCAACCAACCCUCACCUCAGUUCUACCUCUAAUCCCAACCCCAAACCCACCCCCAACCCUAAGCCAAGCCCAUCCACAAUCCCAAUCUCAACCUCAACCCAGACUCCAACCCAAACCUCAGUGUCAGCCCCAUCCCCGACACCAACCCAAUUCCAACCCCAACCCCAAAUCCAUCCCCAACCCUAACCCAGCCCCAACCACAACCCCAACACAACUCCAGCCGCAAUCCCAUCUCCAGCCCCAACCCAACCACAACCCCAACUCCAUCCCCAACCCUAACCCUAAUCCAACCCAACUCCACUCCCAACCUCAACACCAUCCCCAACUCUAAGCCAACUCCAAACCCAAUCCUAACCCUCAAACCAGCACUAACACUAACCCUAAUCCCAACCCCAACAUCAACCCUAUUCCCAACCCAAUCCCAACCCCAACAUCAACCCUAUUCCCAACUCCAACUCCAAACCCAACCCAAUCCCAACCCCAACAUCAACCCUAUUCCCAACUCCAACUCCAAACCCAACCCAACCCCAACAGCAACUCUAACCCUCAUCCCAACCCUAACCCUAACCCAACCCCAACUGGGAAUUGGGGGAACAGGAGGGAAUGGGAGGAUUGAAGGAAACUGGGAAAUUAGGAGGAAUUGGGGGGGAAUAGGUGGGAAUUAGGGGGAACUGGGGGGAGUUGGGGGAUUGAGGGAAUUAUAGGGAAUGGAAUUGGGGCUAUAUGGGGGAAAAUAGUGGGAAUUGGGGGUAAUUGAUGGUAAUUAUGGGGGUAAUUGGGGUAAUUGGGGAGAACAAGGAGUAAUUAGUGGGAACUGGAGGUAACUAAUGGGAUUUCAUGGGGUAAUCAGUGUGAAUAGGGGGUAAUUGGUGGUAAUGGGGUAAUAGUGGGUAAUCAUAGCGUAAUUAUGGGGUAAUUAGGGUUAAAUGGUUGAAAUUAAUGGGUAAUUAGUAGUAAUUGUGGGUAAUUGGUCAGGGAAGUAUUGGGGAGUUAGUGGAACUUUGGGUAACU